UACGGGGGGGGCAAGCGUUGUUCGGAAUUACUGGGCGGAAAGGGCUCGUAGGCGGCCAACUAAGUCAGACGUGAAAUCCCUCGGCUUAACCGGGGAACUGCGUCUGAUACUGGAUGGCUUGAGUUUGGGAGAGGGAUGCGGAAUUCCAGGUGUAGCGGUGAAAUGCGCAGAUAUCAGGAGGAACACCGGUGGCGAAGGCGGGUCUCUGGGCCGUAACUGACGCUGAGGAGCGAAAGCGUGGGGAGCGAACAGG
rnacentral:rRNA from 1 species